UACGGAGGGUGCAAGCGUUAUCCGGAUUCACUGGGUUUAAAGGGUGCGUAGGCGGUCGUAUAAGUCAGUGCUGAAAUAUCCCGGCUUAACCGGGAGGGUGGCAUUGAUACUGCAUGACUUGAGUAAAGUUGAGGUUGGCGGAAUUGACGGUGUAGCGGUGAAAUGCUUAGAUAUCGUCAAGAACACCUAUUGCGAAGGCAGCUAACUAAGCUUUAACUGACGCUGAGGCACGAAAGUGUGGGGAUCAAACAGG
rnacentral:rRNA from 1 species